GCAAGGACAUAUGCUCCCCCUCCCCUACCUAAAGCCCCAAAUAAAAACCCUUCCUUCUAGCUUUUUGGGGAGUUUGGGAUUUCAGCGUUAGCUGCCCUCUCUUCUUGCUCAGCACUGUGCAAAAAUAAAAUUUCUACUUUAUUCCACCACACCCGGUGUCAGAGAUUGGCUUGCUGCACAACGGGACACAAUUGGAAACAGUGGUUAUAUUACCAAGGCUUUGACUGGAACAUCAUGUUUGAAAAAACAUACGGGCUUGGAUAUAACAAGACAGCUUUUGAGGAAUGAAGGUUGACAUUCUGGAAUAAAGCCACUUGGAAAUAUUGGCCUGGUACUGUACUUAUGGGUUCUGUAACCUGGUAAGGUUAAGCAAAGAAUGUCGCUCCCUCUGGCAGGUAAAAGGAACCUCAAUAUUUUGGGGAGCCUCAUGAAGAGAGGGAUUCACCCAAAUCUGUAGGUACUGCAGGCAGAAUGUGAUAACAGGUCCUUUGCUUGGCUUUCUUUGAGAGACCUUUAAAAUUCAACCUGAGAUUCCUUAUAAGGUUCCAGCAAAGCAGAUUUAAAAGAGCCUAUAUGAUCAAUUACUAUUCUUGCUGUACUUAUGUAAAUAAUUAUGCCAAAUUUAUUAAAACUGGACAUUUUGCAAACCAGUUAGUCUUAAUUUGGCUAUGUCUAGUGAAAUUGAAGAUGAUUUUAGGGAGGAAGAUUAUAUUUCAAUGGAAAACUAUAAUACAUAUUUAUAAAUAUUGGAUUUUAGUUUUUUCAAUUAUCUUUGAAAUUUUUGUUUUACUUCUGUUAACUGGACUGGAUCUUGAAUUCUUCAUCUCCUGAAAUAUCUGGCUAAAAACCUCCAAACUAACAUUUUCAGGGUUUUUUUUCUCAUUAUUUUCAUUUGGAGUCAUUGAAAACUAAAUCUGCCCUUUGUCCUAAAGCCUUACAAACUGAAGCUGGAGGACCUAAUAUAAACUUAAGAGAGAUUCAUGUCUACUGCUGUGUAAGCCACUCAAAAAGCUACCUGAGUGCCCAAUGACACCAUCAGAGACAUUUCAAACUGCAAAAGAUGCUUCGACCCUGACUUCUAGGAAUCUUGAUUGGCUGCCCCCUGGACUCAGAAACUGGUUUAUAAUUUGCUCCGAUCAUUAACCUUGUUUUUCUCUUUUUGUUUCUCUAGAAAAACUCUUUAUUAAAUACCUGGUUACUUACUUACAUGAUACAGGCCUACCUUCAGGAGCCCACCAGCAUCACUGCCUUAUUAAAAGACUGGUUCAAUGAGAUGAAACGACCUACGCCCCAUUUCAGCAGGAAGUAGCUAGAUCGGUUGCCACCCCAAAUCCCUCAAGAUUGAGGGAUGGACAUAAAAUAGGGGGGAAGUUGACACUGAUCCUGAUAUCAGUUUCCCCACACUAAACCCAGCAUAUAUGGGGUUAAAAGCAAAACAACCAUUCCCUGCUUGCUCUCUGGCUUCCUGGCUCCAGAAUCCACUAUUCUCCAUGGAGACAGACAUCAUCAAGGACAAGCACCUGGACUAUCUCCUCCCACAAAGAUAUACGGGCUGGUGGGAAAGCUGCUGACCAGCAAGGUCAUGAGCUCGCUCCUGUCUGCAAGUAGUCUCAAGGCCAAAGACAAGCUGGUGGGAAAGCUCCAACCAGCAAGGCCAUAUGCUCCCCCUCCCCUACCUAAAGCCCCAAAUAAAAACCCUUCCUUCUAGCUUUUCGGGGAGUUUGGGAUUUCAGCGUUAGCUGCCCUCUCUCCUUGCUCAGCACUGUGCAAAAAUAAAAUUUCUACUUUCUUCCACCACACUCAGUGUCAGAGACUGGCUUGCUGCACAACGGGUGAGCGAACUCACUUCAGGUUGGGUAACACUAUGUAUGAAGAUUGAGUUGUUU
rnacentral:lncRNA from 1 species